UACAGAGGUCCCAAGCGUUGUUCGGAUUCAUUGGGCGUAAAGGGUGCGUAGGCGGCGCGGUAAGUCGGGUGUGAAAUCUCGGGGCUUAACUCCGAAACUGCAUUCGAUACUGCCGUGCUUGAGGACUGGAGAGGAGACUGGAAUUUACGGUGUAGCGGUGAAAUGCGUAGAUAUCGUAAGGAAGACCAGUGGCGAAGGCGGGUCUCUGGGCAGUUCCUGACGCUGAGGCACGAAGGCCAGGGGAGCAAACGGG
rnacentral:rRNA from 1 species